rnacentral:tRNA from 4 species
GAUCUUUUAGUAUAAUUUAGUAUACCUGAUUUCCAAUCAGGGGGUUUAAGAGAUUA